rnacentral:sRNA from 1 species
UCCAUGGAUGCAUGAGUCCAUUGCAGAGCCAUAAAGGACAGCCCAGGUGGCCCCAGAGCAGGUUUGCUCCACACUGCCCUGUCCAUAUGCCUCAAUGCUGGCCUGGAAGGGCCAUGGCUAUGGGGAAAAGGGAAUUUACUCUUGGUCCUUGGCUAAA